UUAGUUUCUAUUACGAACACGUGUUUUUCAGCAUCCAAUUCCACCAGAAGAAUCAGAAGAAGAACACGUGUUUUCGAGUUACGCAUUCAAACUAGGAAACGGAUUAAUGUAGGAAUGGAUAAUGGUGACGAUUUAUACGUUGAAAUAGGGACUGUAACGGACGAGACAGUGGAAGUGCCCGUUUAUACUUAUAUAGCCAUGUUUGUACUCGAUUGUUGCGAAGUUUAUGACAUUAAUAUUUAUUUUGUUAAAUCAAAUGCAUCUUCACAGUUCUGUAUACCUGUAAAAGUCACGGAACACUUUAAAUUUAAAUUUAUCGAAUUCGAUGAUUUACCUCAAAACGUAAAAGACAGUCAUUUUCCUGUUAUUCAUUCGGUUAAUUCGUUGACGUGCAUAGGAGGUUUGUGUGCAGUAGUCAGAUGGGCGAUCAAAACAAAUCCAAAUGACAGCUACUCAGAUUUAUUAGGGUUUAGAAAUGGAUGUUUAAUGGCUUGCUCAGAAAACUCAAUAUGGACCAAAUUUUGUGAAGUUGACAUGCCUAAUUCUGUAAAUCUGUUGAUUGAUCGAAAAAGUAAUAGAAACGAAGAAUCUGUCUUACCAUCAGAUUUAUUGAAAUUGGAAUUUCAUCUUCAACAUCCUGUAAAAACUCAUAAUAUUUUGAAAAGAAAGCAAGAGUUUGUAAACAAAAUGAAAUCCCAUCAAAAUAACGAAUCCCAUUCCGGCAAAGACGUUUUCGAGAUGUCAUCUUUAAAGGAGUCGUUAGAAGAACAAUUAGAAAUAAAGAAAAAAUCGUCUUCCCCUCCGUCCGAAUAUACGAUGGAUAAAAGUUGCGUCAAUGUUAAACUACCACACAUUUACGUGGAGGGUAUAGAUUUUACUAUAGCUGACGUAAUUCUGUUACCUACCGUUCAUCAUCUCUUGACAGAGUUAAGACCUUGGAAAUCCGAAAUAGAGCGUAAUCUUCCGUUAUUAUUAAACUGGUAUCGCAGGUUAUUAAAAAACGAAUAUAUUUCAAAAUUAAUUGAUACUUGGAAAUGGGUUAAAUGGGAAGAUAUAUUUAUUGAAACGUAUAGAAAUGAUAUAAAAAUACCAGAAAUUCAAAAGGAGAGUUUGUAUACUAGAGAUCCUUUGAGAUGUAAACCUAGGAUGAGGAAUCGUGAUCCUGCUGAAAUUAUUGAUAAAUUGACGAUUGCUGGGGUAUGCCCGUAUUAUAGUGCUCACCCUUUCAAAAAUAACACAAGUCUCGAGUGGGAAGCAUUACCGAGGGCAGUUCAUCCUGCGGGAGGAGAUUUGCCAUUAAAUAGAAUAAUGAGAAAAUGUCAUCAAGUCGAAAGUAUCGUUACGGCCGUGUUAUCGUUAGCCGUUCCCGGUAAUCUGAUAGUCGAUUUCUGUGCGGGUGGCGGACAUGUUGGUAUUUUAAUAGCAUAUUUACGUCCUUCCUGUAAGGUAAUUCUUAUAGAAAAUAAAGAAUCAUCUAUGGAUCGUGCUAGAGCGAGAGCAAAAGAAUUGCAGCUUAGAAACGUAUUCUUUUAUCAGUGUAAUAUGGAUUAUUUUUGUGGAAGAUUUGACAUUGGCGUGUGUUUACAUGCUUGUGGAGUAGCAACCGAUUUGGUAAUUAGACAGUGUCUUUCUCAAAAUGCCAGUUUUGUCUGUUGCCCGUGCUGUUACGGUUCGAUUAAGAAUUCUCAUUUGGUUCAAUAUCCAAGGAGUGAAAAAUUUAGAGAGUGCGGUGUGAGUUAUGAGGAAUAUCAACUGUUGUGUCAUUGUGCGGACCGUACUGAAGUAGCGACGCCAAAAGUAGAAGAAGGUGAAAUAUAUAUGAAAAUCUAACAUAACUCAGAAAUAAAAAUUAUUAAUGUUGGUUUUGAAAGAGCUUUUUCUGCCAUUUAAGAUUUGAUUUUAUUUAUUUCUAUGAAAAGACAAUGAGAGAUAUUAAAUGAAAGUAAAAGCAAUUUAAUACCAUUAGCAAUUUGAACCUACAAACUUUUAUAUUCUGCAACAUCACAAUCAUCAUAAUGGUAAAUACUGCAUGAGCAUUAUCGACACCGAUAGAUAUUUCCAUGCGUACGAAAAUAACUACAACAUCCGAUUAACUACUCUGCAACCGCCGUCUUGUACGCCCAAAUCUAAUUUAUUGAUAGGAGUACC
rnacentral:misc_RNA from 1 species